GUCGAGCGAACAGACGAGGAGCUUUGCUCCUCUGACGUUAGCGGCGGACGGGUGAGUAAACACGUGGAUAACCUACCUAUAAGACUGGGAUAACUUCGGGAAACCGGAGCUAAUACCGGAUAAUAUAUUGAACCGCAUGGUUCAAUAGUGAAAGACGGUUUUGCUGUCACUUAUAGAUGGAUCCGCGCCGCAUUAGCUAGUUGGUAAGGUAACGGCUUACCAAGGCAACGAUGCGUAGCCGACCUGAGAGGGUGAUCGGCCACACUGGAACUGAGACACGGUCCAGACUCCUACGGGAGGCAGCAGUAGGGAAUCUUCCGCAAUGGGCGAAAGCCUGACGGAGCAACGCCGCGUGAGUGAUGAAGGUCUUCGGAUCGUAAAACUCUGUUAUUAGGGAAGAACAAAUGUGUAAGUAACUAUGCACGUCUUGACGGUACCUAAUCAGAAAGCCACGGCUAACUACGUGCCAGCAGCCGCGGUAAUACGUAGGUGGCAAGCGUUAUCCGGAAUUAUUGGGCGUAAAGCGCGCGUAGGCGGUUUUUUAAGUCUGAUGUGAAAGCCCACGGCUCAACCGUGGAGGGUCAUUGGAAACUGGAAAACUUGAGUGCAGAAGAGGAAAGUGGAAUUCCAUGUGUAGCGGUGAAAUGCGCAGAGAUAUGGAGGAACACCAGUGGCGAAGGCGACUUUCUGGUCUGUAACUGACGCUGAUGUGCGAAAGCGUGGGGAUCAAACAGGAUUAGAUACCCUGGUAGUCCACGCCGUAAACGAUUAUACUAAGUGUUAGGGGGUUUCCGCCCCUUAGUGCUGCAGCUAACGCAUUAAGCACUCCGCCUGGGGAGUACGACCGCAAGGUUGAAACUCAAAGGAAUUGACGGGGACCCGCACAAGCGGUGGAGCAUGUGGUUUAAUUCGAAGCAACGCGAAGAACCUUACCAAAUCUUGACAUCCUCUGACCCCUCUAGAGAUAGAGUUUUCCCCUUCGGGGGACAGAGUGACAGGUGGUGCAUGGUUGUCGUCAGCUCGUGUCGUGAGAUGUUGGGUUAAGUCCCGCAACGAGCGCAACCCUUAAGCUUAGUUGCCAUCAUUAAGUUGGGCACUCUAAGUUGACUGCCGGUGACAAACCGGAGGAAGGUGGGGAUGACGUCAAAUCAUCAUGCCCCUUAUGAUUUGGGCUACACACGUGCUACAAUGGACAAUACAAAGGGCAGCGAAACCGCGAGGUCAAGCAAAUCCCAUAAAGUUGUUCUCAGUUCGGAUUGUAGUCUGCAACUCGACUAUAUGAAGCUGGAAUCGCUAGUAAUCGUAGAUCAGC
rnacentral:rRNA from 1 species